GUUUAUAUAGUUUAACAAAAACAUUAUAUUUUCAUUGUAAAAUUAAAGUAAUUACUUUUAUAAAUU
rnacentral:tRNA from 1 species